rnacentral:lncRNA from 1 species
CGUCGGGGACGCCGUCAGGGUGGGGUUCUCUGUGCGACAGAAGGCCGGCGCCAAGUGGUGCUGCGAGUGCCAGGCUUCUAGAGGGUGCAGCGGGUAUGGCAGCCCGGUGCCGGUUGAUCACACGUGCUUCUGCUCCGGCAGACAUGCUAGCAGGUUGUGGCCUACUACUUCGUCAGGUUCAGGUACCCUGUCCUUGAUUGAUCUAAGAGGUAAAUGGUUGGUCAACGAUGUUUGAUUGAUCUAAUUAAUCCUUUUUUUGAAACUGAUCUAAUGAACCUUGAGAUGUCCUAAUUUCUGACCAGUCCAUUUACUGGUAAGGGAAGACUUCUCUUAUUUUAACCUGACGCUUUAUCUACAGGUAUGUAGACUAUAUGUUUGAUUGAUCUAAGAGGUAAUUGGUUGGUCAACGAUGUUUGAUUGAUCUAAUCAACCUUUUUUUUGAAACUGAUCUAAUCAACCUUGAGAUGUCCUAAUUUCUGACCAGUCUAUUUACUGGUAAGGGAAGACUUCUCUUCUUUUAAACUGAUCUAAUCACUCUUUGACUAUAGGAAAUCGAACAAAUUAAGUAGGAUGAAGACAUAAACACAAACAAGGUAGUAGACGAUGAACGGGACAAUUCCCUCAAAUUCUCCACAUUUAGCAUGUUCUCUACUUCACAUGUUGUUUAAAUCAAGCCGUGUCUAAGUAGAGAUAAAACUUGUCUACUCUAUUCCAAGCUGCAUUUCCUUUUAUAUACAGAAUCAUUUUUGACAUAGGUUUUUGACACUACAGGACCAAAGAAACCAAUGGUGAGCACAAUUAACCAAUGGCGCACAUGGACCAAUUCAAGGGACUUUUCGGCCUCCUGUUGGCCGAAGAGGGACUUUUCGGCCAACCGUUGGCCAAAAAGUACUUUUCGGCCAACAGUUGGCCAAAGAGUCCCUCUUCAGCCAACAGUUGCUCUACUUUUUAAAAAAUUCAUAUCAAAUAGGAUUUUUAGUAUUUUAGUUUGAUUUGAUUCUUUUUGCAUUAGAUUAAAAAAUUUAUGAAGUUUCUGUAAAUAUCGAGUUUGACUAGAUUUGAAAGUUUGAAUUUGAAUUUUCAUGAAUUUUCUCAAAUCACUAGAUUGCCUAUAAUUUGAGCUAGGAGUAUUCUUUUUAGACGAUUCUUUUUGCUACUGGUUCUUUAAGAAUUUGUUUAUCAGUAGUAAUUAAUUGGCGAAUUUUAUAAUUAUUUAAAAUUAGGUUUUUAUGAAAACAGUUCUGAUUUAGUGUUUUAUAGGUUUUAUGCUAUUUCUUUUAAUUUUAAUUGAUUUAAAUUUUUUCUUUAGUAUUUUUGACAUAUUAUUUUUGUUUCUGUUUUGUUAUCAGUAGCUAUUUUAUUUGUAAUAUUUUUUUGUAUUUUAUUUCUUUUAUCCUACUAGAAAAUUUGUUUUGAGCUUCAUAGGAGUUUAUAUUUAAAAGUGCCUUGUAAAUCCUGUACAACCAUUGCCAUUUAUACAUGAAAAAAAAUACUUUCCCGCAAUCUUUUUCCCUCCAUCUUCUUUGCCACCAUUUUCUUUCCCGCCAUUCUCUCCCGCCACACUAAGGAGUGCUGCAUCGAUGGAGGAUGACGAUGAUGCCUUCAUGUGAAGUGUGAAACACUGUGUGAGAGAAGUCAUAAGUGUGAAACACUCUCCGAUGAUGAUGACGAAGCUGCAAACACUUAUGACUUCUCUUAGACAGUGUUUCACACUCCACCACCAGCACCGACGCAGGAGACACAGACCGUGUCAGACGAUGUUAUCUACGAUCGUGGACACCAUGAGGCUUGUUUUAUAAGUUGAGAAGUGAAGAUGGCGAGAAAGAAGAUGGCGGGCAAGAAGAUGGCGGGAGAGAAUGGCGGGAAAGAAAAUGGAGGGAGGGAAUGGCGGGAAAUAAAAUGGCGGGAGAAAAUGGAGGGAGAGAAUGGCGUAAAAACCUAAUUUUAAAUAAUCCUAAAAUUCACCAAUUAAUUACUACUGAUAAACAAAGUCACAAAGAACCAGUAGCAAAAAGAAUCAUCUAAAAAGAAUACUCCUAGCUCAAAUUAUAGGCAAUUUAGUGAUUUGAGAAAAUUCAUGAAAAUUCAAAUUCAAACUUUCAAAUCUAGUCAAACUUGAUAUCUACAGAAGCUUCAUAAAAUUUCUAAUCUAAUGCAAAAGGAAUCAAAUUAAAAUACUAAAAAUCCUAUUUGAUAUGAAUUUUUUUAAAGUAGAGACAGGUUGAAGAGGGACUCUUCGGCCAACGGUUGGCCGAAAAGUCCCUCUUCGGCCAACAGGAGGCCGAAAAGUCCCUUUUCGGCCAACAGGAGGCCGACAAGGUGAUACUUUUUAUUUUUCUCCAUUAAGAUGUAUAGGUUCCGAAUUUGCUAUAAAAAUCAUCAUAGUUUAAAAAAAAUAAUCCAAUUCAAGCAUUUGUAAGUGUUCUAUUUUUCUUCUCUUACGAAUUCAAGCAUCAAUGUGCAUGGUUCUUUCUUCAUCUAUUUCAUCGCCGUUUGCCACUUCUGAAAGCUCUGUAGUUGCUUUGGUUCUGUUUGUGCUUCUCGUCGUUGUGCCAUUCCAGUACAUACGCAAGAGGAGGCAGUACAAGUGACUUCCUCGUCCAGGCUCCUCAAGUACAGUAACUCAGGCGGGACACCCAGCUCCAGAGUGGCAGCGACCUGGAGUCCGGCAGAGUCCACAGGCUGCAGACACACCAAUUCACAUAUGAGGAGCUGGAGGAGCGCACCGGCGGC